rnacentral:rRNA from 1 species
UUNUGAACUGGGUAGCUAGAGUAUNUCAGAGGGGGGUAGAAUUCCACGUGUAGCAGUGAAACGCGUAGAGAUGUGGAGGAAUACCGAUGGCGAAGGCAGCCCCCUGGGAUAAUACUGACGUUCAUGCUCGAAAGCGUGGGUAGCGAACAGGAUUAGAUACCCUGGUAGUCCACGCCCUAAACGAUGUCGAUUAGCUGUUGGGCAACUUGAUUGCUUAGUAGCGUAGCUAACGCGUGAAAUCGACCGCCUGGGGAGUACGGUCGCAAGAUUAAAACUCAAAGGAAUUGACGGGGACCCGCACAAGCGGUGGAUGAUGUGGAUUAAUUCGAUGCAACGCGAAGAACCUUACCUGGUCUUGACAUGUACGGAAGAACUCAGAGACGAGUUUGUGCCUUCGGGAGCCGUAACACAGGUGCUGCAUGGCUGUCGUCAGCUCGUGUCGUGAGAUGUUGGGUUAAGUCCCGCAACGAGCGCAACCCUUGUCAUUAGUUGCCAUCAUUUAGUUGGGCACUCUAAUGAGACUGCCGGUGACAAACCGGAGGAAGGUGGGGAUGACGUCAAGUCCUCAUGGCCCUUAUGACCAGGGCUUCACACGUCAUACAAUGGUCGGUACAGAGGGUAGCCAAGCCGCGAGGUGGAGCCAAUCCCAGAAAACCGAUCGUAGUCCGGAUUGCACUCUGCAACUCGAGUGCAUGAAGUCGGAAUCGCUAGUAAUCGCAGGUCAGCAUACUGCGGUGAAUACGUUCCCGGGUCUUGUACACACCGCC